rnacentral:rRNA from 1 species
GAUGAACGCUGGCGGCGUGCCUAAUACAUGCAAGUCGAACGAAGCUUUCUUUCACCGAAUGCUUGCAUUCACCGAAAGAAGCUUAGUGGCGAACGGGUGAGUAACACGUAGGCAACCUGCCCAAAAGAGGGGGAUAACACUUGGAAACAGGUGCUAAUACCGCAUAACCAUGGACAUCGCAUGAUGUUUAUGUAAAAGACGGCUUUUGCUGUCACUUUUGGAUGGGCCUGCGGCGUAUUAACUUGUUGGUGGGGUAACGGCCUACCAAGGUGAUGAUACGUAGCCGAACUGAGAGGUUGAUCGGCCACAUUGGGACUGAGACACGGCCCAAACUCCUACGGGAGGCAGCAGUAGGGAAUCUUCCACAAUGGACGAAAGUCUGAUGGAGCAACGCCGCGUGAAUGAAGAAGGCCUCGGUCGUAAGCUCUGUGUCGGGCGAAGUGUUGAGG